GCCCGGUUAGCCCAGUCGGCAGAGCGCAAGGUUCUUAACCUUGUGGUCGUGGGUUCGAGCCCCACAUCGGGUG